rnacentral:rRNA from 1 species
AAUAGAUACCCUGGUAGUCCACCCGUAAACGUUGGGAACUAGUUGUGGGUCCUUUCCACGGAUUCCGUGACGCGAGCUAACGCAUUAAGUUCCCCGCCUGGGGAGUACGGCCGCAAGGCUAAAACUCAAAGGAAUUGACGGGGACCCGCACAAGCGGCGGAGCAUGCGGAUUAAUUCGAUGCAACGCGAAGAACCUUACCAAGGCUUGACAUACACCAGAACACCCUAGAAAUAGGGGACUCUUUGGACACUGGUGAACAGGUGGUGCAUGGUUGUCGUCAGCUCGUGUCGUGAGAUGUUGGGUUAAGUCCCGCAACGAGCGCAACCCUCGUUCUAUGUUGCCAGCACGUAAUGGUGGGAACUCAUGAGAUACUGCCGGGGUCAACUCGGAGGAAGGUGGGGAUGACGUCAAAUCAUCAUGCCCCUUAUGUCUUGGGCUUCACGCAUGCUACAAUGGCCGGUACAAAGGGCUGCAAUACCGUGAGGUGGAGCGAAUCCCAAAAAGCCGGUCCCAGUUCGGAUUGAGGUCUGCAACUCGACCUC